rnacentral:rRNA from 1 species
UACAGAGGUCUCAAGCGUUGUUCGGAUUCAUUGGGCGUAAAGGGUGCGUAGGUGGCGCCAUAAGUCGGGUGUGAAAUCUCGGGGCUUAACUCCGAAACUGCAUUCGAUACUGUGGUGCUUGAGGACUGGAGAGGAGACUGGAAUUCAUGGUGAGCAGUGAAAUGCGUAGAGAUCAUGAGGAAGACCAGUGGCGAAGGCAGCUCGCUGGGACGUUACUGACGCUGAGACGCGAAAGCGUGGGGAGCAAAACAGG